rnacentral:tRNA from 1 species
UCCUCGGUAGCUCAGUGGUAGAGCAGUUGACUGUUAAUCAAUUGGUCGGAGGUUCGAAUCCUCCCCGGGGAGCCA